rnacentral:rRNA from 1 species
GCGGCCUUAGCGCGGUGGUCCCACCUGACCCCAUGCCGAACUCAGAAGUGAAACGCCGUAGCGCCGAUGGUAGUGUGGGGUUUCCCCAUGCGAGAGUAGGGAACUGCCAGGC